AAACUUUCAACAACGGAUCUCUUGGUUCCGGCAUCGAUGAAGAACGCAGCGAAAUGCGAUAAUUAAUGUGAAUUGCAGAAUUCCGUGAAUCAUCGAGUUUUUGAACGCACAUUGCGCCCCCUGGCAUUCCGGGGGGCAUGCCUGUCCGAGCGUCAUU
rnacentral:rRNA from 5 species